rnacentral:tRNA from 1 species
AAUUAAUGAGCUUGAUAAAGCAUAUGCUUUGAAAGCAUAAGAUAAUAGUUUAUUCUAUUAUUAAUUU